GGAUGUGAGGGUGAUCUGGCUGCAACACCUGUCACUCCGUUGAUCUCUAGGGUUGAUUUGGCUGGUCUGGUUGGCUAGGCAAGUGUCCCCUUCCUCCCUCACCACUCCAUGUGCGUCUACUGAAGCUGCGCGCUGGGUCGAAGAGGAUGACCUUCCCCGAUAGAGGAGGACCGUUCUUUGGUCAACGGUAUACGAGCAGCUGUGCUCCCCUGCUAGAACCUCCAAACACGCUCUCAAGGUCCAUUUGUAGGAGAACGUAGGGUAGUCAAGCUUCCAAGACUCCAGACACAGCCAAAUGAGGCGCUGCACACGGCAGUCCGACUUUCUUA
ensembl:misc_RNA 7SK 7SK RNA